CACGUAGGGUGCGAACGUUGUCCGGAAUUAUUGGGCGUAAAGAGCUCGUAGGCGGUGUGUCGCGUCGGCCGUGAAAACCUGCAGCUUAACUGUGGGCUUGCGGUCGAUACGGGCAUCACUGGAGUUCGGCAGGGGAGACUGGAAUUCCAGGUGUAGCGGUGAAAUGCGUAGAUAUCUGGAGGAACACCGGUGGCGAAGGCGGCAUCCUGGACCGGUAUUGACGCUGAGGCGCGAAAGCCAGGGGAGCAAACGGG
rnacentral:rRNA from 1 species